GCCAGUGGUGCCUCCUCUCCUCGAGCAGCUCCAAUCUCCGGCACCAAACGUUCAUCGGAGAACUCUUGACGAUCUCCUCCGCACUGCCGCCGUUCUUCCUCUCUCCGGUGAGUGAUUUCAAUAUGACUAUUUCUGCAACACUUUCUUCCCAUGGAAAAAUACUCAUGUCACCACUUAGAAAGAGUGAAUGGGCAAAUCAACCUGUGCUCUGUAAAUCUGUUGAAUUGUUCAAAAAUGGACGAAAUGAAUACCGUAUGUCAACAAAUAGCAACAAAUUCCAAUGCCGUGCAUUGGAGAUCGAAAAUAAAUCUUCAACUAAGUUUCACCUUGAUGAUGUAAUUGAAUCCCAACAAUUUGAUAGAGAAACUCUUAGUGCGAUAUUUGAAGUAGCACAGGAGAUGGAGAAAAUCGAGAAGAACUCGAUUGGUGGAAGAAGUGAGAUUCUUAAGGGUUAUCUUAUGGCUACUCUGUUUUAUGAACCUUCAACUAGAACUAGGCUUUCAUUUGAAUCUUCUAUGAAGCGUUUAGGAGGAGAAGUACUAACAACUGAAAAUGCUCGUGAAUUUUCGUCUGCGGCGAAAGGUGAAACACUAGAAGAUACAAUUAGAACUGUUGAAGGUUACUCUGAUAUCAUUGUUAUGAGGCAUUUCGAAAGUGGUGCUGCUCGACGAGCUGCAUUGACUGCAUCUAUUCCGAUUAUAAAUGCAGGAGAUGGUCCGGGACAACACCCGACUCAGGCUCUUCUAGAUGUGUAUACGAUUGGACGAGAAAUAGGGAAACUCGAUGGUAUAAACAUUGCUCUUGUUGGUGAUUUAGCAUACGGGAGGACAGUUCGUUCACUUGCUCAUUUGCUUGCGCUGUAUAAAGAUGUGAAGAUUUACUUUGUAUCCCCUGAUGUUGUUAAAAUGAAGGAUGACAUAAAGGAUUACUUGACAUCAAUGGGGGUUCGAUGGGAGGAAAGUGCUGAUUUGAUCGAGGUGGCUUCUAAAUGUGACGUGGUGUAUCAAACUCGGAUUCAACGAGAGAGAUUUGGAGAGAGGGUUGAUUUGUAUGAAGAAGCUCGAGGUAAGUAUAUCGUUGAUAUGAGUGUCGUAAAUGCUAUGCAGAAACAUGCUGUAGUGAUGCAUCCUUUGCCAAGACUUGAUGAGAUAACGGUUGAUGUCGAUGGUGAUCCGAGGGCUGCUUAUUUCAGACAAGCUAAGAAUGGUCUCUACAUUCGGAUGGCGCUUUUGAAGCUUCUACUCCUUGGUUGGUGAAAGACGCGAACUUUUUAUGUGGCGAAAUCGUGCUGCUUGUUGUCUGGAUUCUGCUGUUGUUGAAUUCUAGAUUUAGUUAAACUUGUUUUAGCAUAAAAGAAAAUUGAAUCUCUUUCUUUGUUCACAAAAUAG
rnacentral:misc_RNA from 1 species